GGGCGACUAGCUCAGUGGUCAGAGCAUCUGCAACGAGCAAGGUACCCUUUGAGGUACUGCGGUCAACUUUCUUCGCUCAUAGCCAACCUGCCCCUGGUGCGAAGAAUGCACGGCAGAUGUCUUCAGUUCGACUCUGGAGUUGUCCA
rnacentral:tRNA from 1 species